rnacentral:rRNA from 1 species
AUUGAACGCUGGCGGCAGGCCUAACACAUGCAAGUCGAGCGGAUGAAGGGAGCUUGCUCCUGGAUUCAGCGGCGGACGGGUGAGUAAUGCCUAGGAAUCUGCCUGGUAGUGGGGGAUAACGUCCGGAAACGGGCGCUAAUACCGCAUACGUCCUGAGGGAGAAAGUGGGGGAUCUUCGGACCUCACGCGAUCAGAUGAGCCUAGGUCGGAUUAGCGAGUUGGUGGGGUAAAGGCCUACCAAGGCGACGAUCCGUAACUGGUCUGAGAGGAUGAUCAGUCACACUGGAACUGAGACACGGUCCAGACUCCUACGGGAGGCAGCAGUGGGGAAUAUUGGCCAAUGGGCGAAAGCCUGGUCCAGCCAUGCCGCGUGUGUGAAGAAGGUCUUCGGAUUGUAAAGCACUUUAAGUUGGGAGGAAGGGCAGUAAGUUAAUACCUUGCUGUUUUGACGUUACCAACAGAAUAAGCACCGGCUAACUUCGUG